rnacentral:rRNA from 1 species
GAUGAACGCUGGCGGCGUGCCUAAUACAUGCAAGUCGAGCGAACAGACGAGGAGCUUGCUCCUUUGACGUUAGCGGCGGACGGGUGAGUAACACGUGGGUAACCUACCUAUAAGACUGGGAUAACUUCGGGAAACCGGAUCUAAUACCGGAUAAUAUUUCGAACCGCAUGAUUCGAUAGUGAAAGAUGGCUUUGCUAUCACUUAUAGAUGGACCUGCGCCGUAUUAGCUAGUUGGUAAGGUAACGGCUCACCAAGGCAACGAUACGUAGCCGACCUGAGAGGGUGAUCGGCCACACUGGAACUGAGACACGGUCCAGACUCCUACGGGAGGCAGCAGUAGGGAAUCUUCCGCAAAGGGCGAAAGCCUGACGGAGCAACGCCGCGUGAGUGAUGAAGGUCUUCGGAUCGUAAAACUCUGUUAUUAGGGAAGAAUAAACGUGUAAGUAACUGUGCACGUCUUGACGGUACCUAAUCAGAAAGCCACGGCUAACUACGUG